UACGACUACUGCCGAGUAUGAAUGCCAGUUUAAUACACAAAACUUUGACAAUAUUGUCACACAGUUAACACGGAUACACACUAGCACUCACCAACAGCAGGCCAACAGACGUGCAGCCAGACAAAUGUGCGAAUAAAAUUGCUAUUUUCGUGCAGCCUGCGUCUAUUGUUAGCCCUAUUGAAAAGUAGAGCCUUCUUUAUGGGACUAAAAUCUGCUGAAAGAAUAUCCAUUUUAAGCACAUAGACGAUGGGAAUUCAAUUCAUCAUGUGGAAUAUGUAUUGGCGCUUAAUUAUAUGGGUCAAUUCUAGCCAAAGCCGUCAAAGUGAGCCAGACAGCCUUCCUUGAUUUUAGACACAAAGCAAACCAGUCUUGAGGCUCCUCUCCAGUCCAUGCUUGAGUAGUUAGUCGGCGCCCACCAGCGUUGACGUCAUUUGCAUGCAUUGGCAGUACUCAAGAUGAAAUUAGAACAAUUCGCAGCUGGGGAGAUAAAUCGAAAGGACUUUGUUUCGGCCUCCCUAUCGCUCUCUCGUACUUGCCGAAUGAAUUCCGAGAACCCAAAUAAAAUCUCUCGCUUGACGUGCUCUUCAAACGUUUUGAUUUAA